GACACACGGUGUAGGAUGAUUGGGAUUCUGACACUUGGGGCGAAAUCGGCGCCACAUUAGCGAGCAGACAGCAGCCGAGAGCCCCCGUUGGCCUCCGCCCUGCAAUACAACAAAACACAGGCUCGACCAAUCAGUGCGCUCUCGCUCAACUAUUCUAGGAUUUUACAUUUUGUCAAAAAUUUUCACAUUUUUGCGAACACUAAAGAGCUUUUCUGUCUG
ensembl:ncRNA C16E9.27 ncRNA